AGAGAGAUGGCCGAAGUACAGGCAGUAGAUUGUAAAUCUUCUUAUGGGCUACCCUCUCUCUA
rnacentral:tRNA from 1 species